rnacentral:lncRNA from 1 species
ACAUGGAUGACAUAGUAACUAUCUACACAGGAAGGUCAUGAGCUACUGACUUCUUCAGAGGCAACAAAUGGUCAUCGAUGUCCUUCACCCCAGGAAGGCAACAGCACCUAAGACAGAUAUUCAGGAAAAACUAGCCGAAAUGGACAAGACCACAAGGAUGUCCUCUUUGUAUUCAUAUUCAGAAUUCAUUUUGGUGGUGGCAAGACAACUGGUUUUGGCACGAUUUACAAAUCUUCAGAUUAUGCAAAGAAAAAUGAACCCAAACAUAGACUUGCAAGACACAGCCCAUGUGAGAAGAGAAAGACCUCAAGGAAACAGCAAAUGGAAUGAAAGAACAAAACAAAGAAAGUCAGGAAGACUGCAAAGGCCAGUGUUGGUGCUGGCGA